GUACACUUGGCAGAAGUGACAGUAACGGGAUGUUUGUUCUUCAAGAUCCAACUGGUUUGGGAAAUCACUCUACAAUCCCCCGCUGUCUUAUUCCUUAGGGAAGCUGACUGGUACCACUCAACUCUGAGACGACUACACAGAGAAGACCUCUCUGGGGUUACCUCCUCCUGGCUGUUGGGGUCAUUGCUGCCUGGGGAAUCUGGAUGCAUUUGCUCUUUGGUGGGGUAUCUGACUAAUGGGAGUGACUGAGUGCUGUCUUUUCUGCCAAUUGUGACGUUCGCACAGUUGGUGGAAGAAAGGAAGGGACCGGCCGGGCGGUGGUGGCGCACGCUUUUAAUCCCAGCACUCGGGAGGCAGAGGCUGGCGGAUCUCUGGGAGUUCGAGGCAAGCCUGGUCUACAAGAGCUAGUUCCAGGACAGGCUCCAAAGCCACAGAAAAACCCUGUCUUG